UGACAAUUAAGAUCAAAUCUGUACAGUCAGUUUUAGCAAGCACUGUGUCAACAUCAGUGUGCAGAAAUAUCCAGCAGCGGAACUUUAUUUACAUGAGGCAAGCCUUAAUCAAGCAGAUAUACAGUGCUAUCAAAGUAUUCCAGCACAGCUCUAAAAAGGUGUCGUGUUCUAGGAGUCCAUAAAUUCCAGCUGCGUUCAGAAAGUGCAAAGACAUUGAAAAACUACCGAAGGAGAACAGCAUCCCUUAUAAUUCUUCAAAGCAUUGAAAGGUAGACUGAAAAUGGGGGGUAAUAAUACACGAGCUGAAAAAGCAGAGCGAGAACGCAAUGAAGCUCAAGCAAAAAAGCAAGAACUCGAGAAAGAAGUUCAAAAACUACAACAAGAAAAAGAGUUUCAGCAAAGAACAGAAGAUGAAAGGAGAAGAGUGGACACGGAGAACAGAAACAGAGAACAAGAAGAAAAGACCAGAAUUCACAGAGAAAAUAAAACUUAACAAAAAGUUAUCAACAACAACUACAGUUUCCGUCAACAGGUUUUUAGGGAAAACGUUUUUUCAAUGGGAGCUAUUUAUUGUUUAAUUGACCAUAGAGAAAAUAACUGUUAUUAGACUAUAAAUAAAAAAAAAAAAACAACUGUAACAUUGUUUACUCAGAUCUAAGAAUAUUUUAGAUAAACUGCGAAACUGUAUUGAAUUCAAAACAUGAUAUUAAUAUUCUUCCUGUUUCCACUGUAACUUCAGAACAGUAGUGAUGUGAUGAAAAGGUACUUUGUGUAUUCACCUAAAAUAAGAAACUAUCAUCGCAAUUGUUUUGUCUGAAGUGACCUUGAAACAUGAUACACUUUUAUAACACGAGUUACAAAGGGUACUAUCUACCUAUAUUAAAUCACUGAUUGCAUGACAAUGUAAUCUAUGUAAAAGAGAAACUAAAUCAAUGUCUGUUGUCAUCAUACUUGCGGGUUUGUGAAAAGACGCCUAAUAAAAUGCUUUAACAAAGUA